AUACUUAACCUGGCAGGGGAGAUCCCAUGAUCACGAAUGUGGUUUUCCCAGGGCGAGGCUUAUCCAUUGCUCUAUGGAUGUGCUGAACCCUGUGAUUCCCCCAAAUGUGGGAAACUCAACUGCAUAAUUUGUGGUAGUGGAGGACUGCGUUUGCACUGUCCCCUG
ensembl:snRNA U1 U1 spliceosomal RNA